GGCCGAAACUCGUAAGAGUCACCAC
rnacentral:hammerhead_ribozyme from 1 species